rnacentral:misc_RNA from 1 species
GAUGAAGAACGUAGCGAAAUGCGAUACUUGGUGUGAAUUGCAGAAUCCCGUGAACCAUCGAGUCUUUGAACGCAAGUUGCGCCCGAAGCCAUCAGGUUGAGGGCACGUCUGCCUGGGCGUCACAUAUCGUUGCCCAAUGCCUAUUGCAGUGCAAUAGGAAUUUCUAGGGCGAAUGAUGGCUUCCCGUGAGCGUUGUUGCCUCGCGGUUGGUUGAAAAUCGAGUCCUUGGUAGGGUGUGCCAUGGUAGAUGGUGGUCGAGUUAGAACGAUACCGAUCAUGUGCAUGCUCCACAAAAUAUGGCCUCUAUGACCCACACGCGUCUUUUGACGCUCAUGACGAGACCUCAGGUCAGGCGGGGCUACCCGCUGAAUUUAAGCAUAUCAAUAAGCGGAGGA